GUGCCAGCAGCCGCGGUAAUACGUAGGCAGCGAGCGUUGUUCGGAGUUACUGGGCGUAAAGGGUGUGUAGGCGGUUCUCUAAGUUUGGUGUGAAAUCUCCCGGCUCAACCGGGAGGGUGCGCCGAAAACUGGAGGGCUAGAGUGCGGGAAGGGAGAGUGGAAUUCCUGGUGUAGCGGUGAAAUGCGUAGAUAUCAGGAGGAACACCGGUGGUGCAGACGGCUCUCUGGACCGCGACUGACGCUGAGACACGAAAGCGUGGGUAGCAAACAGGAUUAGAUACCCCCGUAGUCC
rnacentral:rRNA from 1 species